rnacentral:rRNA from 1 species
AGAGUUUGAUCCUGGCUCAGGAUGAACGCUGGCGGCGUGCUUAACACAUGCAAGUCGAACGAUGAAGCCCAGCUUGCUGGGUGGAUUAGUGGCGAACGGGUGAGUAACACGUGAGUAACCUGCCCUUGACUCUAGGAUAAGCCCGGGAAACUGGGUCUAAUACUGGAUAGGAACGUCUACCGCAUGGUGGAUGUUGGAAAGAAUUUCGGUCAUGGAUGGACUCGCGGCCUAUCAGCUUGUUGGUGAGGUAAUGGCUCACCAAGGCGACGACGGGUAGCCGGCCUGAGAGGGUGACCGGCCACACUGGGACUGAGGUACGGCCCAGACUCCUACGGGAGGCAGCAGUGGGGAAUAUUGCACAAUGGGCGAAAGCCUGAUGCAGCGACGCCGCGUGAGGGAUGACGGCCUUCGGGUUGUAAACCUCUUUCAGUAGGGAAGAAGCGAAAGUGACGGUACCUGCAGAAGAAGCACCGGCUAACUACGUGCCAGCAGCCGCGGUAAUACGUAGGGUGCGAGCGUUAUCCGGAAUUAUUGGGCGUAAAGAGCUCGUAGGCGGUUUGUCGCGUCUGUCGUGAAAGUCCGGGGCUUAACCCCGGAUCUGCGGUGGGUACGGGCAGACUAGAGUGCAGUAGGGGAGACUGGAAUUCCUGGUGUAGCGGUGGAAUGCGCAGAUAUCAGGAGGAACACCGAUGGCGAAGGCAGGUCUCUGGGCUGUAACUGACGCUGAGGAGCGAAAGCAUGGGGAGCGAACAGGAUUAGAUACCCCCGUAGUCC